rnacentral:tRNA from 1 species
GUGAGUUAAAUUUAAACUGUGACUUUAAUAAAGAUAUUUUUAUAUAAAUAUCAACUCACA